GACGAACGCUGGCGGCGUGCUUAACACAUGCAAGUCGAACGGUAAGGCCCUUCGGGGUACACGAGUGGCGAACGGGUGAGUAACACGUGGGUGAUCUGCCCUGCACUUCGGGAUAAGCCUGGGAAACUGGGUCUAAUACCGGAUAGGACCACUGCCUGCAUGGGUGGUGGUGGAAAGCUUUUGCGGCGUGGGAUGGGCCCGCGGCCUAUCAGCUUGUUGGUGGGGUGAUGGCCUACCAAGGCGACGACGGGUAGCCGGCCUGAGAGGGUGACCGGCAACAGUAGGACUGAGAUACGGCCCAGACUCCUACGGGAGGCAGCAGUGGGGAAUAUUGCACAAUGGGCGCAAGCCUGAUGCAGCGACGCCGCGUGAGGGAUGACGGCCUUCGGGUUGUAAACCUCUUUCAGCACCGACGAAGCGCAAGUGACGGUAGGUGCAGAAGAAGGACCGGCCAACUACGUGCCAGCAGCCGCCGCCG
rnacentral:rRNA from 1 species